rnacentral:rRNA from 1 species
UGGGGGAUAUUGCACAAUGGGCGAAAGCCUGAUGCAGCGACGCCGCGUGGGGGAUGAAGGCCUUCGGGUUGUAAACUUCUUUUGCUCUGAACAAGGCAUGCUUUUGGGGUGUGUUGAGUGUAGGGGUUGAUUAGCGCCGGCUAACUACGUGCCAGCAGCCGCGGUAAUACGUAGGGCGCGAGCGUUGUCCGGAAUUAUUGGGCGUAAAGGGCUUGUAGGUGGCUGGUUGCGUCUGUCGUGAAAGCUCAUGGCUUAACUGUGGGUUUGCGGUGGGUACGGGCUGGCUUGAGUGCAGUAGGGGAGGCUGGAAUUCCUGGUGUAGCGGUGGAAUGCGCAGAUAUCAGGAGGAACACCGAUGGCGAAGGCAGGUCACUGGGCCGUUACUGACACUGAGGAGCGAAAGCGUGGGGAGCGAACAGG